GCCCGCGUGGCGGAAACGGUAGACGCUGCGGACUUAAAAUCCGCUGGCCUUGCGGCCGUCCCGGUUCGACCCCGGGCGUGGGCACCA
rnacentral:tRNA from 1 species